UGGUCUUGGAGCUAUGCAGUUUCUCGGUUCAUGGGCCGCCACUGCUAAAUCGGGUAUUCUGGUCACCAAUCCAGAUCCGGUUUGGGAUCGAGAAGUUCUCCGGCCCCGUGAUCCGCCCACGGUGAAAUAUCCUCACCUUGAAUUCAUGAAGAUCGACGAUGGAUCUAGCUUGACGUUGAGUCUCUGGAAAGAAAAGCCUGUCCAGAGGUGUUACAGAGUUAGCAGAGAGUUCCAAGCUCGACUCAAAGGCUUGGCUCAAUCCAGCGACAGAUUAAUUACCUGCACCACUUUCGACGCCAUGGCUG
rnacentral:lncRNA from 1 species